GGAGAGAUGGCUGAGUGGUCGAAAGCGCUCCCCUGCUAAGGGAGUAAGGGCUAAUACCCCUUCGAGGGUUCGAAUCCCUCUCUCUCCGCCA
rnacentral:tRNA from 2 species